rnacentral:rRNA from 1 species
UACAGAGGUCUCAAGCGUUGUUCGGAUUCAUUGGGCGUAAAGGGCGCGUAGGCGGCGGGGCAAGUCGGGUGUGAAAUCUCAGGGCUCAACCCUGAAACUGCACUCGAUACUGCUCUGCUUGAGGACUGGAGAGGAGACUGGAAUUCACGGUGUAGCAGUGAAAUGCGUAGAUAUCGUAAGGAAGACCAGUGGCGAAGGCGGGUCUCUGGACAGUUCCUGACGCUGAGGCACGAAGGCCAGGGGAGCAAACGGGG